GUUCCUGUAGUGUAGUGGUUAUCACGUUUGCUUUACAUGCAAUAGGUCUCUGGUUCAAAAACAGACAGAAACU
rnacentral:tRNA from 1 species